CCUACGGGAGGCAGCAGUAGGGAAUAUUGCUCAAUGGGGGAAACCCUGAAGCAGCAACGCCGCGUGGAUGAUGAAGGUUCUCGGCUUGUAAACUCCUUUUGGUAGAGAAGAAAAUGACGGUAUCUAACGAAUAAGCACCGGCUAACUCCGUGCCAGCAGCCGCGGUAAUACGGAGGGUGCAAGCUUUCAUCGGCAUCACUGGGCGUAAAGAGCGCGUAGGCGGGGUAGCAAGUCAGAUGUGAAAUCCUAUGGCUUAACCAUCGAACUGCUCUUGAAACUGUGAUUCUAGAGUAUGGGAGAGGUAGGUGGAAUUCUUGGUGUAGGGGUAAAAUCCGUAGAGAUCAAGAGGAAUACUCAUUGCGAAGGCGACCUGCUAGACCAUAACUGACGCUGAUGCGCGAAAGCGUGGGGAGCAAACAGGAUUAGAUACCCCAGUAGUC
rnacentral:rRNA from 1 species